rnacentral:rRNA from 1 species
GACGAACGCUGGCGGCGUGCUUAACACAUGCAAGUCGAACGGAAAGGCCCCUUCGGGGGUACUCGAGUGGCGAACAGGUGAGUAACACGUGAGUAACCUGCCCUUGACUUCGGGAUAACUUCAGGAAACUGGGGCUAAUACCGGAUAGGAAUCCUUGCUGCAUGGUGGGGGUUGGAAAGCUUCGGCGGUUUUGGAUGGACUCGCGGCUUAUCAGCUUGUUGGUGGGGUAGUGGCUUACCAAGGCUUUGACGGGUAGCCGGCCUGAGAGGGCGACCGGCCACAGUGGGACUGAGAUACGGCCCAGACUCCUACGGGAGGCAGCAGUGGGGAAUAUUGCACAAUGGGCGGAAGCCUGAUGCAGCAACGCCGCGUGCGGGAUGACGGCCUUCGGGUUGUAAACCGCUUUCAGCAGGGGCGAAGCUUGUGGUGACGGUACCUGCAGAAGAAGCACCGGCUAACUACGUG